GGGCGGUGCCGAAAGGGCGGGAAGCGGGCCGGGGGGGGUGCCCGUACGUCCAGGCCCUCAGCGCCCCUCACGAUGUGCGUUGUCCCGCCCGCUCGUCGAGGCCCUCGGAGUGGUACUUGGGCCUGGUGUUGUGUGGUGCCUCCUUACGGUGUCACUGAGAUGCGCUGGCAGUCAGUGGGUACCUGUGUGCCCGACGGCAGCUGUCCAAGGACCAGCAAUACGUCACAGUUCAUACAAGCGUGUUGCAAGCAGAGCGCACCCAGAGGCAGGUAGGAAAGGUGACUCAUUGUUUCCAGCUCUGCCAUGAUGGUCUUCAAGGUGCGCUCCACAAGUUAAGGUUUCAGAUAAACCCAUCUGAGUUCCCUUUGAGAAAAAAACUUACCUGCAACACUAUCAUCAGUAUUGCCUGAACAGUCUUCUUCGUGUUCCCAUGUAAACAUCAGCUCUGGACAAACCCACAGCCACAAAAUACUACACUACAGGCUUUCAGAAGGAACAGUGGCCUUGUUUCCAGAGCAGCAUGAAGCUUGGACUGCCCACAGACAGUGUGACCCAAGGACAUGCAGCAGUCACGUUCCAGCACUGAAGGAAUUGCCACUGCUGCACCAAGGUAAGCGUGUCCUCGCUGCUGGGCUUAGCCUGGCCAGCAGGCAGCUCUGACCCCAGUUAUCACAUCGCAGACGUACCCUGAAGUGGUGGCAGUUCUGUAAGGUAGGGGAGACCCAUCAUAAAAAGAAAUCUGGAAUGAUUUUGAAAAGCAGGAUUUUCAGUAUAGUCAGAGGGUUUGUACUGGUUUGGAAUCUGGGCCAGCAGAGAUGCCUGCAUUAGAUUAGUACUGCUGAAUGGAAAACCCUCUCAGCUUUGGCAUGCAAGCAGAUCCACUUGUCACAUGCCAGCAGCGCAAUAAAAUAACUUAUAAAGCUCACGGGAAAAGCAGCCUUGAGUUAUCUGGAUGCAAAAGACAGAAUUCAGCACCCGUAGCAACGCACAAAAUCAGAUUCUGUUAUCAACUUGGCCUGGAGCCACUAGCAGAGACAAGCUGCUCUUUCUGUGUGUCAUUUCAGUUGAAGCUUUUUGGAUUUUGGAGUACAAUGCUGGGAUUAUUGGCACACUGGGCUUGGGAAGCAGGGACUCCUUCUCAAAAUUUCCUGUAGCCUUUGCAAUAAAACUAAUCCCUGUGUAUCCUCCAGCUCCCCUUCUUGCAGCACUGCCUAGUGGGGCACACAUGACAGGAUCUCCCCUUUUCUGCCAUCUUACAUUAGUAAUGACCAUUGUCCUAACAACACUUCCCAGGGUGCUGGCUUCCCUCAUUCCCAGGUUACCUUUUUUUUUUUUUCAGUUUUUCAAUUAAGCAAUCACUUCCACUUCUACAAACCGCUGGCUGCAUUCUGCUCACAGUUACUGAUAAGAAUGCAGAAUUAAUUGCUUGCCUCUGGUGCUGGGUGGAAUCUCCAAACUCUUCAUACCCACAAUGAAGAUUUUCAUCAGGCAGAAACAUACUGGCCAUUUAGGGAAGUGAUGAAUGACUUAAAUGAGGCUUUGGAUUGUGAUUCCCUCCUAAGUUGAGGGAGAUAAGCCAAAGAGAGCCCUCCUUCUGAGGCACAGCAUUUUAUCAUAUCACAGAAGCAAGCAGCUAAGAAGACUCCAGCGCUGUGCUUUGACAAUGGGUUAGACUGCCUGUCCUUUUGUGUGACACUGACUAUCAGAUGGGAUCUGGGAUAAAAACAAGUUCUUGAAGAGGUUAUACUUAGU